rnacentral:rRNA from 1 species
GCCGUUUUCUUAAGUCUGAUGUGAAAUCCAUUCGGCUCAACCCAAAGAAGUGCAUCGGAAACAGGGAAACUUGAGUGCAGAAGAGGACAGUGGGAACUCCAUGUGUAGCGGUUAAAUGCGUAGAUAUAUGGAAGAACACCAGUGGAGAAGGCGGCUGUCUGGUCUGUAACUGACGCUGAGGCUCGAAAGCAUGGGUAGCAAACAGGAUUAGAUACCCUGGUAGUCCAUGCCGUAAACGAUGAGUGCUAGGUGUUGGAGGGUUUCCGCCCUUCAGUGCCGCAGCUAACGCAUUAAGCACUCCGCCUGGGGAGUACGACCGCAAGGUUGAAACUCAAAGGAAUUGACGGGGGCCCGCACAAGCGGUGGAGCAUGUGGUUUAAUUCGAAGCAACGCGAAGAACCUUACCAGGUCUUGACAUCCUUUGACCACUCUAGAGAUAGAGCUUUCCCUUCGGGGACAAAGUGACAGGUGGUGCAUGGUUGUCGUCAGCUCGUGUCGUGAGAUGUUGGGUUAAGUCCCGCAACGAGCGCAACCCUUAUUACUAGUUGCCAGCAUUUAGUUGGGCACUCUAGUGAGACUGCCGGUGACAAACCGGAGGAAGGUGGGGACGACGUCAAAUCAUCAUGCCCCUUAUGACCUGGGCUACACACGUGCUACAAUGGAUGGUACAACGAGUUGCGAGACCGCGAGGUUUAGCUAAUCUCUUAAAACCAUUCUCAGUUCGGAUUGUAGGCUGCAACUCGCCUACAUGAAGCCGGAAUCGCUAGUAAUCGCGGAUCAGCAUGCCGCGGUGAAUACGUUCCCGGGCCUUGUACACACCGCCCGUCACACCAUGAGAGUUUGUAACACCCAAAGCCGGUGAGGUAACCCUUCGGGGAGCCAGCCGUCUAAGGUGGGACAGAUGAU